rfam:Leucosporidium creatinivorum strain 62-1032 BCR35scaffold_42, whole genome shotgun sequence.
GCCCCGAUGGUCUAGUUGGUUAGGAUUUGGGUCUCAUAUUCUACAUAUGAUUGCUGUUUCGGCAAGUAAUCCCGCGGUCGAGAGUUCGAUCCUCUCUCGGGGCA